GUGGGGAAUAUUGGGCAAUGGGCGCAAGCCUGACCCAGCAACGCCGCGUGAAGGAAGAAGGCUUUCGGGUUGUAAACUUCUUUUACCAGGGACGAAACAAAUGACGGUACCUGGUGAAUAAGCCACGGCUAACUACGUGCCAGCAGCCGCGGUAAUACGUAGGUGGCGAGCGUUAUCCGGAUUUAUUGGGUGUAAAGGGCGUGUAGGCGGGACAGCAAGUCAGAUGUGAAAACCAGAGGCUCAACCUCUGUCCUGCAUUUGAAACUGUUGUUCUUGAGUGUCGGAGAGGUAAUCGGAAUUCCGUGUGUAGCGGUGAAAUGCGUAGAUAUACGGAGGAACACCAGUGGCGAAGGCGGAUUACUGGACGAUAACUGACGCUGAGGCGCGAAAGCGUGGGGAGCAAACAGGAUUAGAAACCCCGGUAGUCC
rnacentral:rRNA from 1 species